rnacentral:rRNA from 1 species
AUUACUCCUACGGGAGGCAGCAGUGAGGAAUAUUGCACAAUGGGCGAAAGCCUGAUGCAGCGACGCCGCGUGGGUGAAGAAGGUUUUCGGAUCGUAAAACCCUUUUCUGUGUGACGAGAACGGACGGUAGCACAGGAAUAAGUCUCGGCUAACUACGUGCCAGCAGCCGCGGUAAUAAU